GACGUCGACGCGCUUGAUGUUUGAAGGUACCUGUUGAAUAAGCAUCGGCUAACUCCGUGCCAGCAGCCGCGGUAAUACGGAGGAUGCGAGCGUUAUCCGGAUUCAUUGGGUUUAAAGGGUGCGCAGGCGGACUAAUAAGUCAGCGGUGAAAUACUACGGCUCAACUGUAGCUGUGCCGAUGAUACUGUUAGACUAGAGAUUAAAUGAGGUUGGCGGAAUGUGUCAUGUAGCGGUGAAAUGCAUAGAUAUGACACAGAACACCGAUGCGAAGGCAGCUGACCAAUUUAUAUCUGACGCUCAUGCACGAAAGCGUGGGGAUCAAACAGGAUUAGAUACCCUGGUAGUCCACGCUGUAAACGAUGAUCACUGGCUGUUGAGCAGUAAUGCUUAGUGGCUGAGCGAAAGUAUUAAGUGAUCCACCUGGGGAGUACGGUCGCAAGAUUGAAACUC
rnacentral:rRNA from 1 species